UCUUAUUUUAUUAUAAAAUUUAAUUAAAAAUUUUAUAUUAGUAAGAUUUUAUUUUUUAAGGGAUGAGCUUUAAAAAUUAUAUAAUAAAAUUUAUGUAUUUAUUUUAAUAAGUAGAAUUAAAAGUCUUUAUCUUUAAAAGUGUUUUAUAACAAAUUAAUGAUAUUUUAAAAUUUAUAUAUAUAUAGAUUUAUUUUUUUUAUUAAAAUUUAAAUUUAAAUAGGAAAAAUUUAGUAAUUAUGAUAAAAUUAGUAUAAAAUUUUAUGUAUAAAUAUAUAUGUAUACAUUUAAGGUUAAAUAAAGUAACUCGGCAAAUAUACUUUUCACCUGUUUAUUAAAAACAUGUCCUUUUGAUUAUAAUUUAAGGUCUAGCCUGCUCAGUGAUGUAAAAAUUAAAUAGCCGCGGUAUUUUGACCGUGCUAAGGUAGCAUAAUCAUUAGUUUCUUAAUUGGAAGCUGGUAUGAAGGGUUGGAUGAGAAAGUGACUGUCUCUAUUUAAAUUUAUUAGAAUUUUAUUUUUAAGUAAAAAAGCUUAAAUAAUAAUUGAAGACGAGAAGACCCUAUAGAGUUUUAUAAAUAUAAUUAUUUAAAAUUUUAGUAUUAUAAAAGUUAAUAAUUUAUUUUAUUUAAUUGGGGUGAUUGAAAAAUUAGACUAACUUUUUUUUUAUAUGAACAUUAAUUUAUGAAUAAUUGAUCCUUUUUUUAAGAUUAUAAGAUAAAAUUACCUUAGGGAUAACAGCGUAAUUUUUUUUUAGAGUUCAAAUCAAAAAAAAAGAUUGCGACCUCGAUGUUGGAUUAAAAUUUAUUUUUGGUGUAGAAGCUAGAAUAUUAGGUCUGUUCGACCUUAAAAUU
rnacentral:rRNA from 1 species